rnacentral:rRNA from 1 species
UACGUAGGGACCAAGCGUUGUUCGGAUUUACUGGGCGUAAAGGGCUCGUAGGUGGCCAACUAAGUCAGACGUGAAAUCCCUCAGCUUAACUGGGGAACUGCGUCUGAUACUGGAUGGCUUGAGUUUGGGAGAGGGAUGCGGAAUUCCAGGUGUAGCGGUGAAAUGCGUAGAUAUCUGGAGGAACACCGGUGGCGAAGGCGGCAUCCUGGACCAAUACUGACACUGAGGAGCGAAAGCCAGGGGAGCAAACGGG